CAGUGGCAAGCCUUCACCACAACACUGCACACUGCCUAAUCUUCGUCUAUUAAAGUUUGGUGAGAUGAUAAAGACUAUAUAUGGAUGUCCUGCCGCCACUGUUCCCGGGGUUUUUCCCGGGCCGCCUCCCCCCGGCGGUCCCCUAGCCAUCACCCUACCCACGCCAUCACCCUUCUAUCGCCAGCCUGCUGGGUCAAAUACUUUUUUUUCGAAUAUUUCCUGACGGUAAUAUUGCGCUUCCAUGGCUCAGACGUGUGGAUGGAAGGAGGAGGAGGAAGAAGAAGGAGUAACAAUGGAGAAG